UACGGAGGAUGCAAGCGUUAUCCGGAAUUAUUGGGCGUAAAGCGUCCGCAGGUGGCACUUCAAGUCUGUCGUCAAAGACCGGGGCUUAACCCUGGAAAGGCGAUGGAAACUGAAAGGCUAGAGAGAGGUAGGGGUAGAGGGAAUUCCCAGUGUAGCGGUGAGAUGCGUAGAGAUUGGGAAGAACAUCGGUGGCGAAAGCGCUCUACUGGACCUCAUCUGACACUCAGGGACGAAAGCUAGGGGAGCGAAUGGG
rnacentral:rRNA from 1 species